CCUACGGGAGGCAGCAGUGGGGAAUAUUGGACAAUGGGCGAAAGCCUGAUCCAGCCAUGCCGCGUGUGUGAAGAAGGCCUUCGGGUUGUAAAGCACUUUCAGUGGGGAAGAAAGCCUUGGGGCUAAUACCCUCGAGGAAGGACAUCACCCACAGAAGAAGCACCGGCUAACUCCGUGCCAGCAGCCGCGGUAAUACGGAGGGUGCGAGCGUUAAUCGGAAUUACUGGGCGUAAAGCGCGCGUAGGCGGUCUGAUAAGCCGGUUGUGAAAGCCCCGGGCUCAACCUGGGAACGGCAUCCGGAACUGUCAGGCUAGAGUGCAGGAGAGGAAGGUAGAAUUCCCGGUGUAGCGGUGAAAUGCGUAGAGAUCGGGAGGAAUACCAGUGGCGAAGGCGGCCUUCUGGACUGACACUGACGCUGAGGUGCGAAAGCGUGGGUAGCAACCAGGAUUAGAUACCCGGGUAGUC
rnacentral:rRNA from 1 species